AUCUAAUCCUGUUCCAUUUCCAUACCUUUCCAGGGAUUUGUUUCGUACUAUCAGUUAAUGUCUAUUACCUGCUUUUGGACAGGGGAUGCCAGGAUGGUGUCACCCUGGUGCCACAGCAAACUAUCAUAUCUCAAGUGGGAAGCUGCGUUUCUGCUGCUCAAGCACCUCUACUAUUCAGUGAAAUUGCCUUUUCAAUGGGAAUUUCUGCCCUCUCCAGCAGUGCUGCUGCACCCAAACCAUACACAAGCAGGAAGGCAUGGCAAGUAUCAAGGCUGAGGCAUGGAGUGCCUGCUGAGUAUGGGGCACACAGUAAGCGGCUUUAGGAUUUUCUUUCUGUCCUGUCCCUGUUGCACGUGACUCCAAUGCUACUCUGGGGUCUGUGUGAGCUGGUAGGGAGCCCUUGCUCCUCCCAGUCUGUUCAGGCUUUCAGGGGUUCAUGCUGCUUUUGUCCCAGUUUCAUGUCAGAAGGACACUUGCUGGGUCUAGGUACAGCACACCCUGCUCAGGCUCCAUCCCUGCACUGCCAUGGCCUUGCAUCCACGCCUUCAGUUAACCAAGCCUCGUCUGCAACCUGUUGCUCCUGCCCUACAAUGCUGCUUAAAUUUAGUUUAAAAUCUGGCCAUUUUACUGCUGCAUCCCACAUUCCUCACAGACAGUAGCAAGCUAAUAACAACGUGCUGAUGCCAUCGUAGCCAUCACAGGCUGGAGCUGGCAUGCAUAGUCUUGUCUCGUAAACCUCUUUGUCCCGUGAGAGAUUUGAGAAUUUAAUACACAUUCGGUCUGUACCUCCUUAUUUGAGGCUGGCCAGUCUGAAUCACUUUUGAUAAACUCUAAGCAGGAAUUUCAAACAUAGUUAUGUUCCUAUCAGUUUAAUUAAAGUAGAUGACUGGGUAGAGAAACCCUGUGAAAUGUUCCCAUUGAGGAGAAGGCUGUGCUGGGUGUGCCCCUGAGGAACCAUCAGGGAAUCUGCACAGGGCCAUGGCUGUUAUCAUGGGGCACUGAGGAACUUUACUUGAAGCUCUGUCUUGCACUGCCUUAUGAGGAUGCGACACUGCGUGGAUAUGAGAAGCCGGAAAGGACAGGCAUGGCAUGGAGUUUACUUUGCCAACAUUGAACUGGCAUCAAACAGAAGAUCUAUUUUUCGCCCUGCUCUGGUUGUCUGCAGCAUCUGGAUAAGCUGAAGACAGCAUUUGCUAAACUGAAAAGUAUUUAGGGAGAAGUUCUCUGUCUGUACCUCGCCUCUCAGCAGCUGGACCAUUUAUGGAUGCUCUGUAAGGGCAGUGUACGAUGACUUGCAGCAUUCCUCCAUGAGAAGCUUUUGUGGGAUUUCUGUCUUAUCAUUAGCACGUUAUAAAAAUGUCAACUAUUUCCAAACCUUUCAAGUUUCAUUGGAAGGACUACUCUGAAUUUCAGCCCUGAAGUCGGUUGAUGUGCGGUUUGAUCAUCUGUUCCUCCUCUCGUACAGAUGCUCUCAAUGUGGGCAGCAGAGCAGCGCUGUCACAGCAGAUUAAUGGCAGAAUGCAGCACUGCUUGUGGAAGCAGAGUAACUAAAGACCAACAGUGAUGUUGUACCAUCUGAAUAAACCCUGAAAUUAGAAUAAUUUUUCUCAAUGUUUCGGCCUCCUAAGUACAAAGUAAUAACCCUGUCAGGGGUAAUAUUUGCUGCUGUCUCCUGUGGAUGCAUUGGGAAUUCGCUGCAGCCUCCUGGGCAGAAGGUGGGUGUGUUGAUGGUGGGACACUGUACUAAAGGGAAAUGUACACAAGCCCCUUGGUCGCAGUGCAGGAUGGAACUACUGGGAAGAUCAGUGCUGCUUUGAACGUGGCAUUUGGUUUGGUUUCCUCACAGAAAGGACAAUGGAAAAAUGGGGAAUGUAUAUAUAUUUGUACAGCAGGCAAAAUGUGUUGUGGACUUCGGUAGGAGAUGGCAGUCGGUAUGUGAAAUCCAGACCCGAGGCAAAUACCAAAUGGUGGAUGGUGAAGAAAGCCUCGCUGAGUGCUCAUUGCCUCAGUACAAAUUGGACGAGGGCAAAACCUCAGCGAAGGAUGAGACUUAACAAUAUUCCUGUAAACCUCACAAAAAUAGGAGUAAUCCUGUAGCAUUGCCAGGCUGG
rnacentral:lncRNA from 1 species